AUGAUCAGCUGUGACCAGGAGCGGACACACACAGGAAAAAGCAGUGGGCACCUACAGAGGGACAGAAACCACAACAUACAGCAAGGGGCAAAAUUGUCGCACUGUCAGAAAAAUUCCUGUCAGUGCUUCAGUGGCUCACACCUUGCAUCCAUCCACCUCACCAGACCACAGCCUCCAGACUCUGCGCCUGGCGCUGCAGGCAAAGAUGAAGCCCAAUCCAGCUGUUAUAGCUCCAGUCCUCCUCACUGCAGUAAAACCAGCCCUGGCUCUGCUGAUCAACUGAUCUUCACCACGGCCCAGGAGAGGCAGAGGACAUUUUGCACGGCGCAGGAGAGCAGAGCUGCCUCCCCCCGAGCACCGGCCGCCUGCUGCGGGGAAACCACAGGAGCAGCUGCGUGGGGCGCAGGGAGCUCGCUGCGGACUCUGGCUGGGACAGAACAUCUGUCUGUUGCUAUGGCUGCAGUACACUUGAAGGGGAUGACUGGAUAAUUAUUGCAAACAUCCAUCCUGCCUGAUGUGCUCCCGGACCCUCGCUGGCCUGAGCGCAGGGACAGCGGCCGGCAGGUUGGGAGCAGAACUUGGGCCACAGGGAUCCUACCUCGGGAUGGCAGUGCUGGCAACACCUUUUCAUUUGCAUAAUUAAUGAGGCCAAGGCUGCAGGGCUCCUGGGAAAUCCGACGCAGAGCAGCAGCGAUGAAAUGGCACGGAGGGCUCCAGCCUUCCCCGUGGCUCAGAGCUCUGCUCGCUGCUAACGCCCCGCUUUGGAGCUCCAGGGGAGUUGUUCUCCCGUUUCCAUUAAUUCACCACCCACUUCUAUCUGAACAGAUUGCUCCGGGCCCAAUCCUGCAAAUACCUCCUGCAGGCGUGGGUCCCCGGCCUGCCUGCUGACAG
rnacentral:lncRNA from 1 species